UACGUAGGGAGCAAGCGUUGUCCGGAAUUACUGGGCGUAAAGGGUGCGUAGGCGGCGAUGCAAGUCAGAUGUGAAAUCCCCGGGCUUAACCCGGGUUCUGCAUUUGAAACUACAUUGCUUGAGUGCAGGAGAGGAAAGCGGAAUUCCUAGUGUAGCGGUGAAAUGCGUAGAUAUUAGGAAGAACACCAGUGGCGAAGGCGGCUUUCUGGACUGUAACUGACGCUGAGGCACGAAAGCGUGGGGAGCAAACAGG
rnacentral:rRNA from 1 species